rnacentral:lncRNA from 1 species
GAAGGACGGGGGGCGAGAGCUAAUAACUAGACCGGGAGGCGAGAGCGUGCGGGUGCGGAGACUCCGGGCGGGAAGAAGGACGAGCGGGAAGUCAAGGCUCCAGCCUCUAAAUGUGGUUUGAUAUGUACUACCUUGGUGAGUGUCUGGUCUCUGUAUCCUGAAACAGUUGGGCCUGAAUCCCUGCGGAAAUCUUACCCACCUUUUAAGACUCCAUUCAGCUGCCCUCUUCAUGAAGUCAUCUCUCAUCUUCCACAGAGACAUGAACCAGCGGUAUUCUGUUCAUACCCACUCAGAGAUGUCUUGACCUGAAUGCAAUGCAGUCUCACACCCGGAAGUGGAUGCUGGACCCAAAGACAG